AGCAUGUGGAAGUGGGAGCCAACAAUUCAAAGUUAAAUAGAGGCACAGACACUUUGGAAACUACUGUGGCCAGACGAGGAGGUGGGCCACAGUAAACAGCAUGAGAGGUAGGAACAGAGGAUAUGGCUUCUGUACCUUGUCAGCCCAACUGAAAAGACGUAAGGAAAGUCACAAAAUGGCUAUCAUAAUGCUCUGAUUGAGGACACCAGAUUUUUACGGAG